rnacentral:rRNA from 1 species
UACGUAGGGUGCGAGCGUUUGUCCGGAAUUAUUGGGCGUAAAGGGCUCGUAGGCGGUUUGUCGCGUCGGGAGUGAAAACCAGGUGCUUAACACCUGGCUUGCUUUCGAUACGGGCAGACUAGAGGUAUGCAGGGGAGAACGGAAUUCCUGGUGUAGCGGUGAAAUGCGCAGAUAUCAGGAGGAACACCGGUGGCGAAGGCGGUCUCUGGGCAUUACCUGACGCUGAGGAGCGAAAGUGUGGGAGGCGAACAGG